rnacentral:rRNA from 1 species
AACGAACGCUGGCGGCAUGCCCAACACAUGCAAGUCGAACGUGACCUUCGGGUCUAGUGGCGCACGGGUGCGUAACGCGUGGGAACCUGCCCUUAGGUUCGGAAUAACUCCCCGAAAGGGGUGCUAAUACCGGAUAAUGUCUUCGGACCAAAGAUUUAUCGCCUUUGGAUGGGCCCGCGUUGGAUUAGCUAGUUGGUAGGGUAAAAGCCUACCAAGGCGACGAUCCAUAGCUGGUCUGAGAGGAUGAUCAGCCACACUGGGACUGAGACACGGCCCAGACUCCUACGGGAGGCAGCAGUGGGGAAUAUUGGACAAUGGGCGAAAGCCUGAUCCAGCAAUGCCGCGUGAGUGAUGAAGGCCUUAGGGUUGUAAAGCUCUUUUACCCGGGAUGAUAAUGACAGUACCGGGAGAAUAAGCUCCGGCUAACUCCGUG